rnacentral:rRNA from 1 species
ACGGAAGGCAGCAGUGGGGAAUAUUGCACAAUGGGGGAAACCCUGAUGCAGCGACGCCGCGUGAGUGAAGAAGUUAUUCGUAAUGUAAAGCUCUAUCAGCAGGGAAGAAAAUGACGGUACCUGACUAAGAAGCCCCGGCUAACUACGUGCCAGCAGCCGCGGUAAUACGUAGGGGGCAAGCGUUAUCCGGAUUUACUGGGUGUAAAGGGAGCGUAGACGGUCUGGCAAGUCUGAUGUGAAAGGCAGGGGCUCAACUCCUGGACUGCAUUGGAAACUGUCAGUCUUGAGUGCCGGAGAGGUAAGCGGAAUUCCUAGUGUAGCGGUGAAAUGCGUAGAUAUUAGGAGGAACACCAGUGGCGAAGGCGGCUUACUGGACGGUAACUGACGUUGAGGCUCGAAAGCGUGGGGAGCGAACAGGAUUAGAUACCCUGGUA